GGGCUCACACAAGCGGUGGAGCAUGUGGCUUAAUUCGAGGCUACGCGAAGAACCUUAUCCCGGACUUGACAUGUCCGAAAGGGGUAGGAAGUAGGGGACGGAAACGCACCCCCAACGGUAUCCAGUCCGGAACCUACCACAGGUGCUGCAUGGCUGUCGUCAGCUCGUGUCGUGAGAUGUUGGGUUAAGUCCCGUAACGAGCGAAACCCCUGUCCCUAGUUGCUAACGGGUUAUGCCGAGGACUCUAGGGAGACUGCCGGUGUCAAACCGGAGGAAGGCGGGGAUGACGUCAAGUCCUCAUGGCCUUUAUGUCCGGGGCUGCACACGUGCUACAAUGCCGCGCACAGAGGGAUGCCAACCCGCGAGGGGGAGCCAAUCCCAAAAAACGCGGCCCAGUUCAGAUUGCAGGCUGCAACUCGCCUGCAUGAAGUUGGAAUCGCUAGUAAUCGCAGGUCAGCAACACUGCGGUGAAUGUGUUCCUGAGCCUU
rnacentral:rRNA from 1 species